rnacentral:rRNA from 1 species
GAUGAACGCUGGCGGCGUGCCUAAUACAUGCAAGUCGAGCGAACAGAUGAGGAGCUUGCUCCUCUGACGUUAGCGGCGGACGGGUGAGUAACACGUGGAUAACCUACCUAUAAGACUGGGAUAACUUCGGGAAACCGGAGCUAAUACCGGAUAAUAUAUUGAACCGCAUGGUUCAAUAGUGAAAGACGGUUUUGCUGUCACUUAUAGAUGGAUCCGCGCCGCAUUAGCUAGUUGGUAAGGUAACGGCUUACCAAGGCAACGAUGCGUAGCCGACCUGAGAGGGUGUUCGGCCACACUGGAACUGAGACACGGUCCAGACUCCUACGGGAGGCAGCAGUAGGGAAUCUUCCGCAAUGGGCGAAAGCCUGCAGGAGCAACGCCGCGUGAGUGAUGAAGGUCUUCGGAUCGUAAAACUCUGUUAUUAGGGAAGAACAAAUGUGUAAGUAACUAUGCACGUCUUGACGGUACCUAAUCAGAAAGCCACGGCUAACUACGUG